AACCAUAGAAACCUGCGGAGUACCUGCGGAAGGAUCAUUACCGAGUUUACAACUCCCAAACCCCUGUGAACAUACCUAUACGUUGCCUCGGCGGAUCAGCCCGCGCCCCGUAAAACGGGACGGCCCGCCCGAGGACCCUAAACUCUGUUUUUAGUGGAACUUCUGAGUAAAACAAACAAAUAAAUCAAAACUUUUAGCAAUGGAUCU
rnacentral:misc_RNA from 1 species